CAGGAGAAACACAGGAGAAGAGGGAGAACACAAUACUUUCUCACAAAUAUCCCUUCAGUAGAGGUGUUUGCUAGUUGAAGCUAAUGCUAGUCUGAGGAGCUCCGUGGGGAAGAGGCAGAGGAGGAAGGCUCAGCUGGAGACUGCAGCUCUGAGGAGGAGCUUUGUGGAAAAGGCAGUGCUUGGAUGAAUACAGUCAAGGCUUGUACCACAACUGCUGUACCACAAGUGCUUUGAUACCAUUUAGUGGUCACAC